GACGAGUUUGAUCCUGGCUCAGAAUCAACGCUGGCGGCGUGCCUCAGACAUGCAAGUCGAACGAUUAAAGCUCUCUUCGGAGAGUGCAUAGAGUGGCGCACGGGUGAGUAACACGUAAGUAAUCUACCUUCGAGUGGGGAAUAACGUCCGGAAACGGGCGCUAAUACCGCAUAAUGCAGCGGCAUCGCAAGAUGACAGUUGUUAAAGGAGCAAUCCGCUUGAAGAGGAGCUUGCGGCAGAUUAGCUAGUUGGUAGGGUAAUGGCCUACCAAGGCUACGAUCUGUAACCGGUCUUAGAGGACGGUCGGUCACACUGACACUGAAUAACGGGUCAGACUCCUACGGGAGGCAGCAGUCGGGAAUUUUGGGCAAUGGGCGAAAGCCUGACCCAGCAACGCCGCGUGAAGGAUGAAGUAUUUCGGUAUGUAAACUUCGAAAGAAUAGGAAGAAUUAAUGACGGUACUAUUUAUAAGGUCCGGCUAACUACGUG
rnacentral:rRNA from 1 species